rnacentral:rRNA from 1 species
GAUGAACGCUGGCGGCGUGCCUAAUACAUGCAAGUCGAGCGAACAGACGAGGAGCUUGCUCCUCUGACGUUAGCGGCGGACGGGUGAGUAACACGUGGAUAACCUACCUAUAAGACUGGGAUAACUUCGGGAAACCGGAGCUAAUACCGGAUAAUAUAUUGAACCGCAUGGUUCAAUAGUGAAAGGCGGUUUUGCUGUCACUUAUAGAUGGAUCCGCGCCGCAUUAGCUAGUUGGUAAGGUAACGGCUUACCAAGGCAACGAUGCGUAGCCGACCUGAGAGGGUGAUCGGCCACACUGGAACUGAAACACGGUCCAGACUCCUACGGGAGGCAGCAGUAGGGAAUCUUCCGCAAUGGGCGAAAGCCUGACGGAGCAACGCCGCGUGAGUGAUGAAGGUCUUCGGAUCGUAAAACUCUGUUAUUAGGGAAGAACAAAUGUGUAAGUAACUAUGCACGUCUUGACGGUACCUAAUCAGAAAGCCACGGCUAACUACGUG